rnacentral:rRNA from 1 species
AUUGAACGCUGGCGGAAUGCUUUACACAUGCAAGUCAAACGGCAGCACGGACUUCGGUCUGGUGGCGAGUGGCGAACGGGUGAGUAAUGUAUCGGAACGUGCCCAGUCGUGGGGGAUAACGUAGUGAAAAUUACGCUAAUACCGCAUACGAUCUAUGGAUGAAAGCGGGGGAUCGCAAGACCUCGCGCGAUUGGAGCGGCCGAUAUCAGAUUAGGUAGUUGGUGGGGUAAAGGCCCACCAAGCCAACGAUCUGUAGCUGGUCUGAGAGGACGACCAGCCACACUGGAACUGAGACACGGUCCAGACUCCUACGGGAGGCAGCAGUGUGGAAUUUUGGACAAUGGGCGAAAGCCUGAUCCAGCCAUUCCGCGUGCAGGAUGAAGGCCCUCGGGUUGUAAACUGCUUUUGUACAGAACGAAAAGGUUUCUACUAAUACUAGGAGCUCAUGACGGUACUGUAAGAAUAAGCACCGGCUAACUACGUGCCAGCAGCCGCAGUAA